GCAGGUGUUGGGAUUAAGAUACACUUUCAUUUUCAAAGCACUUUGCAGUCAUUAACUAAGUGCUCACCCCUAAUUCUCUUCUAGGUUGAGCUUGGCCAUGGUCUCCCCAUGCUGUCUCCCUUGCCUCUUCUCUGAGUCUCAAGGAACAUGCUGUCACUGGCAGAUAUAAGAACAUCUUGUGCUUUAUAUAUAUUUUUAAACCUUACUGGGUUGCUUGUCUAACUCACCCCUCCAGUAGCUUAGUGAGAUUAAUGCCUCUUUCUAAACUGUGAUAACCAAGAGAUACUUUCCAGCAAAUGCGAAUGGGGCUUUAAAGUGCUGCGAGGCAGGAUGACAAGAUCUUGGGUGAGUUUCAGCUGGUGGGCCAGGAGAGAGUGAAAACAAAGCCACUGGAUAGUGAGAGGAUAGAGGGUGCUCCACAGACGCGAACUGCAUCUUUAUGUUUACAUAGAAGGGAGAGUGAAGGAGCAAAUGUGGGCAACAGCUGUCAGUGACACAUCAUUACCCCAACAGCCAGAAACAAGAUAAGCGCCUUGCAGGGGCCCUUAACUGACUGCUGGGUUCGAUGGUUCAAAGAGAAAAAGCACGUGAUAACUUUGAAGGAGGCUGCCUGGCUGAGCUGAUCGGAUCACCUAGAGACUGGAAAUGCUUUCUGGCAGUGCCUGAUCCUCUACUGGGUGUUCAACACUGGCUGCAUUUAUGGAGACCACAGACAAAAGAUGGAAACAGCCUCCACCGGCAUGGGGAUCAGGCAUGGGGCAAACACAGGAGACAAAACAGGAGAAUCUCCCGAGAACACCCUCUGAUCAGCACUCUGCAUGCAAUUUCCAUCUCAGACUCUGUUUCUAGGAAGACUUUCAGGCAGCUGACACUGGACGUGGUUGUGAGUUGCAGGCCCUAAUGAAAAAUUGGAGAGGAAGCAGGUGGCCGGCUGAUGAAAUGAUAACCAGAAGGCCUGUGGGCUUGGGUGGCUGAGGCUGAGGCUACUGAGUGUUGAAGAGAGAGAGGCAGAGGCGCAGGAUGACUCAUCACUGGUUUCAGGCAAACUGUGAAAGCCAGAGCACUUCCUUGGCAGCAUUUAAGAAAACCCCGAUGAUCUGCAGCUGGAAGGCAGGUUGGCUGGAGGACCAGUCUGAACCCUGAGUAGGUUAAGUUCUCAGUCCUUCAGACACAGGGCUCUAAUGGGAAAGAGGUGAGACCCUUACACUUAGGGUGGGAGCCCUGGACAGUUGGGAACCCUGAACACUUACAUGCCCCUGAGUCCCCUGGGCCUGCAGAAAUGGCCUAUUUCUCAUGUCAUGUAGAAGAUUGUAGACUGCUUGAACCUGGGAGGCGGAGCUUGCAGUGAGCCCAGAUUGCACCAUUGCACUCCAGCCUGGGCAACAGAGCGAGACUCGGUCAAAAAAAAAAAAAAAAAAAAGCAAGACUUUCCUUUUCUGAAGAUCAUACAGAGGUCUCAAAUGAGUCUGAAGUCACCUGCCCUAUCUGGACAUUCCAUAGACUACCACUUUUACCCACGACUUCGAUGUGGCAUGCUCAUUGGACCAGAUAAGCAAGCAGUGGCAAGUGGAUUGGAGGUCUUGGUAACCAGUUCAACCAAAAUCCUGGGACAGCUGUUCCCUGAUGCGGCACACUUCCUAGAAGAAGCAAGUGAAUUUAAAGCAGAGUGAACUGUAGAGGAGUUCACGACCAAAUCUCUGAUGCUUUCCCCAGAUCUUUCUUCAGGGCCAACACAUCCAUUGCUCAGCUGUGAUAGACAGCAGUCAGGGGUGGCUCACCUCUCUCACUGGGAAUUGCUCUCAGCAGUAGGGAACUCAUUCAGGGUUAAGGCAUCUCCUUGAGGAGGCCCAUGUUCAAUUACUGGUUGACACAGGAAUAUGAAGGCCUGGCCCUCGUCUCAGCUUGGAAUAAAUCUGAAGGCCCAUCACAGCUUCAGAGAUGCUUGGAGAAGGCUGAGGUCUCCCCUGUAACCUUAUGAGAACCUUGAGUUGUUGAACUCAUUAAUUCUUUGGGACCAUCUUCCUGAUGUUCAAGUUUGUGAAACAGGCUUUCCCUUUAAGAUUUGUUUUCCUCAAAAUACAAGACUAUUGAUGCUUCAGUUUUGAAGUGGAUUCUGCACUCAAGAAAUGUACCAUUGAAGAAUGGGACUGGUAGGAAGGGAAAAAAACUAAAAGGAAACGCAUUUUCGAGUUGCACAUCAUGAUCAGGCACAGAGUCCAGAUACACUUGGAGUAGCAAGCAUCCAUCCUUGUGGAGACGCACAUGAACCAGGACUCUCUGCACCCACCCCUCUCAAGUUUUAUUUUCCGACGGCUGUAAUGUUCCAGGACACCUGCCAUCAUGGAGGGUUAUCCAGCACCUGGAGGAUACCUGCUACCUGGUGAAGGACUUUAGUACGAUGGUCAAGACAAGAACCGUGGAGUCAGAAUGCCUGCAUGCAGAUCUCAUCACCAUGGGAAUCAUUGAGGGUUUACUGAACGAGUGCUAUUGUAAACAGAGUCAGUGUCAACACCAGAAAGUGCUUCCUGAUCUGGCAGUUUAAUUGCUCUCCUGAUUUCCAUGCUUUUCACUCUUUAUGAAAUGUGACGUUUUCUCUACAUCUUGUACAAAUACAG
rnacentral:lncRNA from 10 species